GAUGAACGCUGGCGGCGUGCCUAAUACAUGCAAGUCGAGCGAACAGACGAGGAUCUUGCUCCUCUGACGUUAGCGGCGGACGGGUGAGUAACACGUGGAUAACCUACCUAUAAGACUGGGAUAACUUCGGGAAACCGGAGCUAAUACCGGAUAAUAUAUUGAACCGCAUGGUUCAAUAGUGAAAGACGGGUUUGCUGUCCCUUAUAGAUGGAUCCGCGCUGCAUUAGCUAGUUGGUAAGGUAACGGCUUACCAAGGCAACGAUGCGUAGCCGACCGGAGAGGGUGAUCGCCGACACUGGAACUGAACCACGGUCCAGACUCCUACGGGAGGCAGCAGUAGGGAAUCUUCCGCAAUGGGCGAAAGCCUGACGGAGCAACGCCGCGUGAGUGAUGAAGGUCUUCGGAUCGUAAAACUCUGUUAUUAGGGAAGAACAAAUGUGUAAGUAACUAUGCACGUCUUGACGGUACCUAAUCAGAAAGCCACGGCUAACUACGUG
rnacentral:rRNA from 1 species